AGCGAAACAAAAGGAUUAAUCGAAUCUCAACAUGUUCAAUAAGAGAACAAGGAUAUUAAAAAAAUAUAGGAACUAAACUCUCUUGUCAGUUAAGAUCCAUUCCGGGAACUGCAACAGAUUGAAAAUACUAAUCCACAUCAUCAGAAUAUUGUAAGGAGAAUUUAUUGCCAACUCGGAAAAUGUAUCAGUAUUGGAACAAUCCCAAACAUACAGCAUUGCAUCAAGAAUCACCUAUUUUGCAGUCAUCCUCCUCUAACUAAAUGCAAGUAACUUUUACUUAUUGUGAUGGUACUACUAGUAGCUCCAGCCACAGUAGGUCUCACAUUUUAGUCAAGAGAUUGGAUUAAUAUGUAAGUGUUUAUUCAGGUCAAAGUACCUAUUCAUUGAACAACCAUAUUAGCGACAUUGAUUUGUGUAUAAUGCUGUUACUUGUUAAUAAAAACAUUUUGUUGCAUGUAUUGUAAACAGGGUUUUUUUAACUAACCUUGUUUUUAAAUAAAUUUAUUAUUUUUUUCAGCACCUCAACACCUGACCUGCUAUUUCACCACUUUUACAAUGAAAAGCAGAGUGUACUCAAAUUACUAAGAGAAUUUUGUGGAUAGAGGAACUGCAGGUGAAGAUUCAGGGUGUUCAUAUGUGUGUCGUCCAAAGCAUUUUUGAACACAGUACCAUAUAUAACUUAAUGAAACUUACAACCAUGGGGGAAUGAAUAGUCGACUAUCUGCAAGAAGGAUGAACUGUUGGUGGAAUUAGCACAUGCAGCUAGCAAUUUUAAACCUGUAUUUCCACAUA